AUUUAAGAAUAGUGCAUGCGACGCCGCAUGAUAAACAGGAACAGUCGGGGGCAUCAGUAUUCAGUUGUCAGAGGUGAAAUUCUUGGAUUCACUGAAGACUAACUACUGCGAAAGCAUUUGCCAAGGAUGUUUUCAUUAAUCAGUGAACGAAGUUAGGGGAUCGAAGACGAUCAGAUACCGUCGUAGUCUUAACCGUAAACUAUGCCGACUAGGGAUCGGGCGAUGUUCUUUUCUGACUCGCUCGGCACCUUACGAGAAAUCAAAGUUUUUGGGUUCUGGGGGGAAUAUGGUCGCAAGGCUGAUACUUAAGAAAUUGACGGAAGGUCACCACCAGGCGUGGAGCCUGCGGCUUAAUUUGACUCAACACGGGGAAACUCACCAGGUCCAGAUGAAAUAAGGAUUGACAGAUUGAGAGCUCUUUCUUGAUUUUUCAGGUGGUGGUGCAUGGCCGUUCUUAGUUCGUGGGGUACUUGUCUGCUUAAUUGCGAUAACGAGCGAGACCUUACUCUGCUAAAUAGCCGGCUAACUUUGG
rnacentral:rRNA from 1 species